GUGAGGAAUAUUGGACAAUGGGCGCAAGCCUGAUCCAGCCAUGCCGCGUGCAGGAAGACGCAUCUAUGGUGUGUAAACUGCUUUUGUACGGGAAGAAACACUCCCUCGUGAGGGAGCUUGACGGUACCGUAAGAAUAAGGAUCGGCUAACUCCGUGCCAGCAGCCGCGGUAAUACGGAGGAUCCAAGCGUUAUCCGGAAUCAUUGGGUUUAAAGGGUCCGUAGGCGGUUUAAUAAGUCAGUGGUGAAAGCCCAUCGCUCAACGAUGGAACGGCCAUUGAUACUGUUAGACUUGAAGUACAAGGAAGUAACUAGAAUAUGUAGUGUAGCGGUGAAAUGCUUAGAUAUUACAUGGAAUACCAAUUGCGAAGGCAGGUUACUACUUGUGGAUUGACGCUGACGGACGAAAGCGUGGGGAGCGAACAGGAUUAGAUACCCCAGUAGUCC
rnacentral:rRNA from 1 species